rnacentral:rRNA from 1 species
CACGUAGGGCGCGAGCGUUGUCCGGAAUUAUUGGGCGUAAAGAGCUCGUAGGCGGCCUGUUGCGUCCGCUGUGAAAGCCCGGGGCUUAACCCCGGGUCGGCAGUGGAUACGGGCAGGCUAGAGGUAGGUAGGGGAGAAUGGAAUUCCCGGUGUAGCGGUGAAAUGCGCAGAUAUCGGGAGGAACACCGGUGGCGAAAGCGGCGCACUGGACCACAACUGACGCUGAGGCGCGAAAGCUAGGGGAGCAAACAGG